rnacentral:piRNA from 1 species
UGGCAGACCUUGGAAUCUUCUACAGGAUGC